rnacentral:rRNA from 1 species
ACAGUGGACGCGAGCAUCUUGUUUUUUGUGGUUAAGUUGUCAAGGGCGAACGGUGGAU